rnacentral:rRNA from 1 species
GACGAACGCUUGCGGCGUGCUUAACACAUGCAAGUCGAACGGAAAGGCCCUGCUUUUGUGGGGUGCUCGAGUGGCGAACGGGUGAGUAACACGUGAGUAACCUGCCCUUGACUUUGGGAUAACUUCAGGAAACUGGGGCUAAUACCGGAUAGGAGCUCCUGCUGCAUGGUGGGGGUUGGAAAGUUUCGGCGGUUGGGGAUGGACUCGCGGCUUAUCAGCUUGUUGGUGGGGUAGUGGCUUACCAAGGCUUUGACGGGUAGCCGGCCUGAGAGGGUGACCGGCCACAUUGGGACUGAGAUACGGCCCAGACUCCUACGGGAGGCAGCAGUGGGGAAUAUUGCACAAUGGGCGGAAGCCUGAUGCAGCAACGCCGCGUGCGGGAUGACGGCCUUCGGGUUGUAAACCGCUUUCGCCUGUGACGAAGCGUGAGUGACGGUAAUGGGUAAAGAAGCACCGGCUAACUACGUGCCAGCAGCCGCGGUGAUACGUAGGGUGCGAGCGUUGUCCGGAUUUAUUGGGCGUAAAGGGCUCGUAGGUGGUUGAUCGCGUCGGAAGUGUAAUCUUGGGGCUUAACCCUGAGCGUGCUUUCGAUACGGGUUGACUUGAGGAAGGUAGGGGAGAAUGGAAUUCCUGGUGGAGCGGUGGAAUGCGCAGAUAUCAGGAGGAACACCAGUGGCGAAGGCGGUUCUCUGGGCCUUUCCUGACGCUGAGGAGCGAAAGCGUGGGGAGCGAACAGGCUUAGAUACCCUGGUAGUCCACGCUGUAAACGGUGGGUACUAGGUGUGGGGUCCAUUCCACGGGUUCCGUGCCGUAGCUAACGCUUUAAGUACCCCGCCUGGGGAGUACGGCCGCAAGGCUAAAACUCAAAGGAAUUGACGGGGCCCCGCACAAGCGGCGGAGCAUGCGGAUUAAUUCGAUGCAACGCGUAGAACCUUACCUGGGUUUGACAUGGAUCGGGAGCGCUCAGAGAUGGGUGUGCCUCUUUUGGGGUCGGUUCACAGGUGGUGCAUGGCUGUCGUCAGCUCGUGUCGUGAGAUGUUGGGUUAAGUCCCGCAACGAGCGCAACCCUUGUUCACUGUUGCCAGCACGUUAUGGUGGGGACUCAGUGGAGACCGCCGGGGUCAACUCGGAGGAAGGUGGGGAUGACGUCAAGUCAUCAUGCCCCCUAUGUCCAGGGCUUCACGCAUGCUACAAUGGCUGGUACAGAGAGUGGCGAGCCUGUGAGGGUGAGCGAAUCUCGGAAAGCCGGUCUCAGUUCGGAUUGGGGUCUGCAACUCGACCUCAUGAAGUCGGAGUCGCUAGUAAUCGCAGAUCAGCAACGCUGCGGUGAAUACGUUCCCGGG